ensembl:lncRNA
AUGACUUUCCCACUUUACUCAAAGAUCACCAGUCCUUUCCAAAAUUUCAAGAAUGUUCAAGUGCAGAUGAUCUCUAAAUGUUGUAAAAACAACAAUACAACAACAAAAUGUGCUGAUGCAAAACAUUUCAGAGAGAAGAUACUGAAGAAGAAAGAGAGGAGAAGUGAUGGAUUGCGCUGAGAGAUAUUGGAGGCAUGAGACGUGCGAGGUGCUGGACUCCAUGACCACUGUUUGGCAGAAGAGCUGCAUUGGUGCUCAGAAGUGGAAUUUCAGUGAAUUUUGUUGACUCAAAGUUCACUUUCCCAAGACAAAUAUACUUGAGGGGCGAAACCUCCCCCAGACUUCAUCCGCUGUUUCUCUUUGUAUUUUUGGUUUGAUGGAUAUCAUGUUCCUUUUGUUCUGUUUUUGCCUGGUAAAUGUACAGCACAGUCACUGUUUACAUUAAGGUGUAGCAUUGGCUAAACAAAUCUUAUUAUAUUAUACAGAAAGAGUGACUUUCAGCUGACAGAUAUUUAAUUACACAAUCCGUUGUGCUUUUGCCAUUUAAAUAGGUGUUAUCUCGCCGCUGAGCUGCUGUACAAUGUCAGAGGUCUUUACAAGUGAGUGAAAAUGUCCUCGGCUUUAUUCAGCAUUGGGAUUUAAUAUAAAUUUAUCUCCCCUCAAAAAAGCAUUUCCAUUACAGGAUAAAAUCCAUACUGAGUCUCAAGUCUGACACUCGCGAGACAUCCCUUGAGUUAGACUGACCUAAGAGAACGUGUGAAGUGCAAGCGAAUCGAUUAAAACAUUUGUGUGUGUCAUAAUCGUAACUGUUGGCUUAGAGAUAUCAAUGUCAUCCCGAUGCCACGUGGGGAAUUUAAGGCAUCUUUUCCUGUGAAUUUAUUCUGACAUGGAGGUGACAUCGCCAUAUAUAAAGCUUCUAUUAAUAAAACGCUGACAGCCAAAUGUGCCCGGCACUCCUCCAGGGUUUACUCAGGUUUUUUAAGAUGCAAAGUCUGCCAUUGUGAGUCUCCAAAGGAACACGGAAAUGUGUUCUAAUGUGUGUUACUUGCAUCAGAGAGAUGUUUAUUUGUAGGUAAUGGUUUGUGGAAAAAUCUUCGCUCCAUCAUCUGCAGGACCACCCUUUCUGAGAGAGGCAGGGCGGUAAAUCCAGAGGCGUUUGGCUGUUGAUGGAGUUCUGGGGGACGGCAGCGAUUGCACCUCACUUUAUGAGUGAUUUAGGAUGAGUUUUUCCCUCAAUGUUUUAGUCAUUACUCUUAAUCACACACUUCAGCCAUUCUGUCCGCUUCCGUCGCCCAUUUCCUCUGUCUUCAGGCUGACAUUGACGGAUCGCAGACACCCGCUGUAUCUCCUCUGAGCCAGACA